AGUCGAACGAAGGCCCUAGCUUGCUAGGUGUCCUUAGUGGCGCACGGGUGAGUAACACGUGGGAACAUACCUCAUGGUACGGAAUAACUGCGGGAAACUGUAGCUAAUACCGUAUAUUCCAGUAAUGGGAGAGAUUUAUCGCUAUGAGAUUGGCCCGCGCAAGAUUAGUUUGUUGGUAAGGUAAUGGCUUACCAAGGCUACGAUCUUUAGCUGGUUUGAGAGGAUGAUCAGCCACACUGGGACUGAGACACGGCCCAGACUCCUACGGGAGGCAGCAGUAGGGAAUAUUGGACAAUGGGGGCAACCCUGAUCCAGCAAUGCAGCGUGAGUGACGAAGGCCUUAGGGUUGUAAAACUCUUUCAUCGGUGAGGAUAAUGACAGUAACCGAAGAAGAAGGACCGGCUAAUUCCGUGCCAGCAGCCGCGGUAAUACGGAAGGUCCUAGCGUUGUUCGGAAUUACUGGGCGUAAAGCGCAUGUAGGCGGAACAGAAAGUUAGAAGUGAAAUCCCUGGGCUCAACCUAGGAAUUGCUUUUAAAACUUCUGUUCUGGAAUUAAGGAGAGGAAGAUGGAAUAUCCAGUGUAGAGGUGAAAUUCGUAGAUAUUGGAUGGAACACCAGUGGCGAAGGCGAUUUUCUGGACUUAUAUUGACGCUGAGAUGCGAAGGCAUGGGUAGCAAACGGGAUUAGAUACCCCGGUAGUCCAUGCAGUAAACGAUGGGUGCUAGUCGUCGGACUUAUGUUCGGUGUCGUAGCUAACGCGUUAAGCACCCCGCCUGGGGAGUACGGUCGCAAAUUUAAACUCAAAUAAAUUGACGG
rnacentral:rRNA from 1 species